rnacentral:rRNA from 1 species
AUACAGAGGGUGCAAGCGUUAAUCGGAUUUACUGGGCGUAAAGCGCGCGUAGGUGGCUAAUUAAGUCAAAUGUGAAAUCCCCGAGCUUAACUUGGGAAUUGCAUUCGAUACUGGUUAGCUAGAGUAUGGGAGAGGAUGGUAGAAUUCCAGGUGUAGCGGUGAAAUGCGUAGAGAUCUGGAGGAAUACCGAUGGCGAAGGCAGCCAUAUGGCCUAAUACUGACACUGAGGUGCGAUAGCAUGGGGAGCAAACAGGAUUAGAUACCCUGGUAGUCCAUGCCGUAAACGAUGUCUACUAGCCGUUGGGGCCCUUGAGGCUUUAGUGGCGCAGCUAACGCGAUAAGUAGACCGCCUGGGGAGUACGGUCGCAAGACUAAAACUCAAAUGAAUUGACGGGG